GUGAGUGUAGUUUAAUGGCAAAACUACGGCUUUUCAAGUUGUAGUUGCGGGUUCGAUUCCCGUUACUCGCU
rnacentral:tRNA from 1 species